GAGAUGUGAAAGAGAAGAGGAGGAACAAAGAAGUGAAGAGAGAACUUCAGUGAUGAACGCAGCUCGAAUUCAUGACAAACACAAGCUGAAGUCGUUCUGGGAGCAGAGGAUCAUCCAGCACAGCGAGCUCAUGGACGAGGAGGAGAACAGAGUGAGGAGCAGCGCUCUGACCCGGCUGAGGGCCGAGUGGUUGGUCCGCUUGAGUCAGAGAAACCACAACCAGCAGAGUUUCUGUGAGGAGCAACUCACACAAGCUCAGAAAUCCUAGCAGAGCCUCCAAACAACAAACUCAUCCUGAAAAAUCAGAUCUGCCGUCCCUCCACCAAUCAGAUCCCAGCUGCUGGUGUGGACAUGAACAUUUAUUAUGUAAUGUGGUACGGUGGUCGUGAUGUGCAAAACGUGACAUCAGCAAUGGAAAGUCAUUAACGGAGCAGUCUGAACACAUUUAGAAUAGUCACUUUGUGGAGCCACUCAUUAAUGUGUGACUGCAGGAUAAAUGUCUAGAUUAAGACAAGUGCGUUUUGCUCAGCAGCACU